rnacentral:lncRNA from 1 species
GUGGGGAGCUUGUUUAAGGUAAGAAAAUGCUAUUCCCACCCUCUAAUCCAAGUUUUAUUGGUUGGUUAGUGAGCAAUUUACAUUUUGGUUUUCUCUCUCUUCCAUGGAUCUUGAGCUUUGUGUUGACCAAAUUAAAGCUUAUCUACAAUGCUAUUAGUGUAGAAUAGGUAGAGACACCAUCUUGCACCAUCAAUUAGGUGAUAUAGCUUGAUUUUAAUGGAGAUUAAUUAUAGUUUCAUGUAUAGAGAGAAAAUGCAUUCUAGAUCUAGGGUUUCCUUUUUUUGUUUUUGUUUCAUAAAAUUGGAAUGUGGUUGGCAUGAAUAGUUAUUGGUAAACUAAUAGUUGUUGCUAAUAUUAAUUGUUUCUAAUAAUAGUAGAUAAUAAUUGGUAAUAUUAAUUAUGUCUAAUAAUCGUUUCUAACACAAUUAUUACUAAUAAUGAUAGCUAAUAAUUGUUGCUAAUAAUGGUAGAUAAUAAUUGUUACUUAUUAAUUGUUGCUAAUAAUGGUAGAUAAUAAUUGGUACUAUUAAUUAUGACUAAUAAUCGUUUCUAACACAAUUAUUGCUAAUAAUGAUAGCUAAUUGUUGCUAAUAAUGGU